rnacentral:rRNA from 1 species
CUACUGACUGACCGAUAGUGAACUAGUACCGUGAGGGAAAGGCGAAAAGAACCCCGGAGAGGGGAGUGAAAUAGAUCCUGAAACCGUAUGCGUACAAGCAGUGGGAGCCCACUUUGUUGGGUGACUGCGUACCUUUUGUAUAAUGGGUCAGCGACUUAUUUUCAGUGGCGAGCUUAACCGAAUAGGGGAGGCGUAGCGAAAGCGAG